GCCUUCGUGGUGUAGUGGUUGGUCACGCUCGACGCGUAACCGAGAGGUUCGCGGUUCGAUUCUCGGCGAAGGCG
rnacentral:tRNA from 1 species